AUGUCUAACAGUAACACUGCUCAAAAGAUCCUCUGAAUUAAUGAAAGAAUCAGGAAAAAAAACUGAUGGUAGAAUCAAUAAUCAAAGACAAAAUUACAUCUAAGACUCCAGGCAAGAAAGCAAUUGAGAAAGAGGGGAAGAUAUCAGUUUGACUCAGGAGACACAGAGAUGGACAUCAAAUAUGGUCACAUCAGAAAAAACAGCCAAGUCCAGUUCCAAGUUGAAGUUGUGUAUAGCCUAGCAGAAUGUGAGAAGCUCUCCACCCUAUUUGGUGAUGGGCCAAGGAUAUAACUCAACUGCACAUCAGUUGCCCCUCUGACAAGGAGGAAUAAAAGUCCUCAAAGGAAGUCUCUGAAAAGGAAGACAAGGACAAAAACAAACAAAAAAAAGGUCCUAAGGAAGAUGUUGUCCAGAAACCCAAGCCAAAAUUAUACACACUCCGCUGGAAGAGACUUCCAUGAAUUUCUUGUAAGUACACUGAAAAAGAACCCAAAGAACAAAAUGAUGCUACUAAUAUGAAAGUAGGAGAUUCUGAAAUUUAUUAAAACAAUAACUAGUUAAGAGGUUCCCUCAGAUGACUUCAUAUCACUGGAGGCAAUUACACUGGAUAGCUGCCUAUUUGGGGAUGGACCACAAUGUUGCUCAAACUUGAAAAUCUGUCAUCAUCAACAAAACCAGUAACAUAAGACUGCCUGAACAGAGUUUUCAAGACAUACAAAGGAUGAGAAGAAUAUAGAAUUUUAGCAGAGAUUGAUUCUCAAGAGAAACAAUUCAGUACAGAAUGAGAUUGUCUGGAACAGAUAUCUACAUGACAGCUGGGGAUUAGCUUAAGGGGCUGAGCUGCCACUCAAGGCGCUGAGCUUUCCCUAAGCAGCCAACAGAGCAGCAUCAAUAGUGAACUCAAAUCUUCAGAGCCAUGGCCUUGAAACAUGUGACCCUUUGCUACCAAAGCCAGCUACUUCAGCAGAAUCUCCAUCUUCACCUGACUAUAGCACUGGAAGCAGUAAAGGUGGCAGUGCAAGAAGGAUCUCCAGGCCAGGUAUGGCACUAGGUGCCCCGGAAAUGUGCAACCAGGUAACCUCGUCCCUGUCUGUCCAGGGCCUUCUCCCCUAUACUGCCCAGCAGUAGCAGCAGCAACUUCCUGCCCUCCCACCCAUGCCUCAGCAACAGCCUCCCAUGAAUAAUUGCAAGAUCUCACAGGCAGACAACAUCAGCAACCCCUUCGGAGAAAUGAGCCUUUACCACUAAGAUUCUACAGAAGCAGCUGACCCAUCCUCCCCUCUGUUCUGGUCCCCACUUAUCUUUCAGCAUCCUCAGCAGAUAAGCUUCAUUGCAGUGCAGCCCUUCCCACAGGACAGCUCCUCCCCACAGGACAGCUCCUCCCCAUCUCCAACUGUUCCACUCAGCAAUUCUUCCCAGAACUACAUGCAGCCCCCUCAACAGAUCCAGAUUUUUCACUGUCCUCUUGGACAGUAUUCUAAUUCCAACCCGAAAUAUUGACCUCUCUCUCUCGCCCCGUGGUCUACAGCUCCCAACGUGAUCAACAGUUGGGAGUACCUCAACCAUCCUAUAAUGGUUUAUAUCCCAUAAUGCCUAACUAGGAGCAGGCAGCUUAUAGAGGCUUGAAUGGGAUCCACAACCCCAGUACCAGGGCCUGCUCAGCAACCAGAGCAGCAGAAUGGGGGGCCAGAUGCAAGCUUGGUCCUUCUUACCAAAAUGUGGUCCAGCCUCCCUUCCAGCUACCCAUGCUAGUCCCUGUGAGCCAGUCUGUGCAAGGAGGCCUCCUGGCAGGUGGCAUACCAGUGUACUAUAGCCAGAUUUCACUGAAUCAGCAAAUGGUACGAGCCCUUCUGUAUGUAGGGUUUCUCCUGGCUCUGAGCAGUACCAAACGCCUGAGUCUCCCUCUUUGGCUAAAAAGAACUAUGACUUGAGGGUUAUGGAACAAGCCAACUCCUAGUAA
rnacentral:lncRNA from 1 species